GUGACUAGGGAGGAGGUGGCCGACGGGCCAGCUAGGAGGAGGUGAGUGACUAGGGAGGAGGUGGCCGACGGGCCAGCUGGGAGGAGGUGGCCGACGGGCCAGCUAGGAGAAGGUGGGUGACUAGGGAGGAGGUGGCCGACGGGCCAGCUGGGAGGAGGUGGCCGACGGGCCAGCUGGGAGGAGGUGAGUGACUAGGGAGGAGGUGGCCGACGGGCCAGCUGGGAGGAGAAACCCUGGUCGUCCAGCCACUGAACGAUGACGUCAUAGUUAUUGCUCAUCCAGGCGAUGUUGUUGGCUGUUCUUUCAAUUGCUUGAUCAACAGCUUG